rnacentral:lncRNA from 1 species
ACAACAACGCUGUUAAUCUUACUUUAUAGGGUUAGGGCAUAACUGCGUGUCAAACACAGGUUUUAUUUCUUAAAACUAAAUUGCACUUUUGAUCACAAACUUUACAAAAACUGAGUUUGGCCUAAAACUAAAUAAGACUAUAUUGGCCCUCGACUUUAACCUUUUUGCAAAAGUGAUGUUUCCAUUGAUUGUGAUUGAGGCAACACAUACUUGUUCAUCAAGUUUAAUGACUCAGAUAACACAUGUGUUUUUUAAUACAUAGCUAAAUUGAACUUUUGACCUGCUAAUUUUUAGAAAUCAUGGAUUUUGGUCCCUAACACAUAGCGGAGUAACGGUUCGAUUUGGAUCGGUUUUUGGUCAAAAAAAUGUCCGAACCAAUGAAAUCUUCAUCGGUUUGGUUUGGUUUGGUUUUUACUGUUUUUAAAAAAAAAACCGAACCAAACUAGUCGGUUUGGAUCAGUUCGGUUGACCGGUUUGUUUGAAAUUACAAUUAAAAAAAUCUAUAUUUUCAAAAAUUUGUAUUUCAAGCAUACAACAUACUCAAAUAUUUCAUAGAACUUUAUUUUCUAUGUUAUCUAUUUUUCAAACUACUUUGUGUAACUAACAUAAAAAAACUAACAAGAGAUGGGCGAUCCCAGUAUGUAGAAGGUCAUACGAAGGAUCAAUUUCAAAUUCAUUCCCAGUAUGUAGAAACAUUGUUGCAGGCAGAGCUGUUAUCCUUGUCUUAUAGCAGAGACACAAACUGAGUAGUGAAGAUAGUGGUUGUACACUUCGUACAAUUGUACUAUGUCAACGCUCUUCAAAGAACAAGCAUCCAAUGCCUUCAAAUCCUUUCAAAAUAGUCGUUGCUUUACUUUUCCAGUCUUCUACAAUGCUUAGACGAGAUUGAAUCCAUUGAACAACCCUUGAAGCUUUAAGUCUUGCUUCUGAAGAACUUGCAUCUGAUGACGUCAUCACUUCAGGAGCACUUUUGUCUUCAGGAGCACUUCUCUUCAGACGCCUUAAGCUUCCUUUUUGUUGAUUCCUUUGCUCUCUUUUGUUCUUCCAUAACCUAAUAAUGAUAUUAAAUUUUGUCUAUGGUGCUGUACACUUGAAUAAAUAUUAGCAUAUCCAAUUGACAAUUUUUAAUACCUUGUUAUCAUCAAAAGUCUUAAAGAGUAAUGUUAAACACAUUUUGUUCCAACAGCAUGAUCAUGCAUCUACUACUUAAAUAAAAUUGCUCUCCAUCUGUCUUCCUUUCCAUCUAGGUUUGGAAUUGAAAAACAAGAUAUUAUAUAUGCAUGUGUGUGGGUAUAUGUGUGAUAUUGUUAUGUAAGAACUUUAUGUAUUGUUAAUAAAUAAAGAGAUUUCCUCUACUAAUAGAACUGCACAUAUUUGCAUAUGGUCCUGCGCCUCUUUAUUUGUGGGUGAUAACACUUUAUUUGGAGCCUGGAUUUGCGCCAGUUAUUCAAUAAAUUUCAAUAGAUUAUCAAUUUGCAUAAAAUGUUAAUAUCAAAAUUAUAAUAGUUUCAUAAUUGUGUUUAUUAUUGAGGUUAAAACACCAAAGUAGGGUGUAUGAAAUCAACCUACAAUUUUCUUUUUUUAAAAAAAAUAAUAGUAAAAUUACCCACGGUUCACCUGUGGCAAACAAAGCCUUUUAAAUCAACCCAAAAUUUAAAUUAGCUAAGGCUUGACUGUGGUUAAGUAUCAUAUUAUGACCGUGGCAAGAAUUUGCGGGAAAAUUUGGCGCUCAUUUUAGCCACGUGUUAACCGUGGCAAAUAUUUAAUUUUAGAAAGCUGUAAAAACAGAGUUGCCACGGUUUGAGUGUGGCUAACAUUUGUUACCACGAUUUCGAAGCUUGUAGUUAAAUGCCAAUUUGACUGUAGCUAAAAAUUUGCAACGCCCCCAUUGACCACAGUUUUGUAACCGUGGGUAAUUUUUUUUGCUACGCCUAUAUUGCACGUUAGCUACGGUUUUGACCGUGGCUAAAUGGCGAGUUUUUGGUAGUGAAACAAAAUAUUCCAUAUAUAAUUGAAAAAAACUAACAAAAGUUGAUGUAACAAAAAAAAAAAAAACUAACAAAAGUUGACCCCAACAUAAAGAUAAACUAAUUAACAAUUAUAAUACUCCAACUACUUAACUUCAAAAAAUAAAUUAUAUAGUACUUGUGAAAAGCUAGAGUGCAACAUUGAUAAGUGAAAACUAAGAUGGAGGAACAUUAUUGAUGAACAUAGACAACUCAUCACCAAAUUUAUGCUGCAUGAACUUUUCCAUAAUUGCCAAAUGAUAUUGCGUUUGUUCAAGUUGACCGGUCGUUUGUGUAAGUUGCUCAGUUGUUUUUGUAAGCUUCUCUGGAGCCUGUGUAAGCUGUUCCUUAGUCUUUUCAUAUCCAAUUAGUUUUUCUCCCAAACUUUCUACUUGCUUCUGUAAGUCUUCAACAUUCUUUUCAUUAGAGCUACCAGCUUGAAUAAAAUCUGUGAAAUGCCUACGCUUUCCAAAAGCAAUAGUUGGACAAACCCCCAAACCCAAACCGCGUACUCGACCCGAGUGCUCAGCACCAUAUAGUUUUCCAAUAGCAUCAUCAGUAUAUGCAUUAAUCCACAACUUAGUCAUUUAAGGCAAAAUUCCCAAAACAACUCACUGACAGCUUAUGACCUCUAGGCAAUUCAAUUUCAACUCAAAUUUUCCAAAAUCAAAGAAAAUAUGUAUACACAGUUCCUACACCAGUCAUAAAGAAAUUCUAACAUAUUUAACCUAAUAAUCAACCGCGGAAGCUUUUGGAACAACUUAUGGCUUUUAACUUUAUUAAAAAAAUUAUAGAAAAAUAUAGUUAUUUAUAAAUAGUAAAAUCAUGUCUCACUAACCAAUUGCAGACUUCACAUCUUCAAAUCGUGAGGGACAAAAAGCACCUAUAACAAAUACAACAGCGUGUGACUCCCAGAUUGAGCGAAGACCAAGCUGAUAAGCAGGGAAAUUAAAUUAACAUCUUAUUAUAGAGAGAAAGCUUACAGUAGAUUGUGUGUAUGGAGAAUUCGAACUGAUUGAGAAAGCUUACAACAGAGGAUGGUAACAAACUAAUUUGGGGAUUAGGGUUUAGGGAAGAAAGAUGCAAUUAAGUUUUCUGAAGAAAGCCAUGACUUUGGGGAAGAAAGAUGAAACUGAUUUUGGGAUUUUUUGAUGGGAUGAAAGAUUGAAAGAAGGAGUGGGGUGUUAUGGCGCGACUUGUGAAAGUGGAGAGAAAAUUUUGGAGAAAAAAAAGUGUGGGAAUGAAAUGUGUAUUACGCGCCUUCUAUAUUUUUGUCCAGUAUAUCAAAGUUAUCCACGGUCAAAACAAAACCGUGAGAGUCAUAAUGUGGCAAGUGGACCCUUCUAUCAUUUUUUGUUGUUAUCCACGCCUAAGGAAAAAUCGUGGCAAUUUUAGUGUGGCCAAUAG